rnacentral:rRNA from 1 species
AAAUUGAAGAGUUUGAUCAUGGCUCAGAUUGAACGCUGGCGGCAGGCCUAACACAUGCAAGUCGAACGGUAGCACAGAGAGCUUGCUCUCGGGUGACGAGUGGCGGACGGGUGAGUAAUGUCUGGGAAACUGCCCGAUG